UGAGAAGAAGUAGAAACACAUCAAGAGAGAGAGAGAGAUUGGUCCUGCCUCACAUUUCACUCAGGAAGUUGAGAAUAGGCCACUGAGAUCAUUCCAAUUCCAGUCGGAUCUGAAGAAAUUGAAAUUCCAGGCAAUGGAAUGCUAUGCAAGUGAUAGAGAAGGGAAGAGAGAUAACAAAACAAAAAGAUUCCAAAGCAUGCCAAUUAUAAAGUAGCAGAUGUAAAAUUUGUCUGUGGGUGACAAUUACUAUAGGUAUAGGAGUUAACAAGAGAGAAUCCCAAGUCCAAUUGUCAGCAAGAUAAUUACAACAUACCGCAUCUGACAUAUCGCAAUGAAGCUUAGUUACAGAGUCACCCCUUCCGAGUUCUUCUUCAAUGCCGUAAGCAAUGUAUGUUUUUGGACCCAAGUCUGGUUUUAAGACACCUGUAGGCAACUUCACAGCAAGGUUGAGGAUACCAGCCCUUGGAUCUGUGUACUCUUUAAAAGGCAGAGCACUAAUAAAUUCUUCCCCAUGGCGUGGCAAAAGAUUUUCAAAUUUAUCUGACGGAGGCCAGUCCUUUAAUUUAAGCAUUUCUGGCCAUAAGUUAUAAUAAGUUCUUCCUUCAGUAUAGCCUUCAAAAAACUGACGAGUAUUAAUUUCCACCUGAAAAGUUUACACAGAAAAACAUAAAAGGGUUAAUUAGAAUUUUAAAAUAAUAAUAAAUAAAAAACUCCACAGAAUAACAAACAAUAGAGACCUUUGUAGUUGUAGCAAAAAGUUCAAGUAAUGCAUAAACAACUUGAACUUAAUUUUUUUCUAAAAAUGUAAAACAAUGUCAAAAGGACAACAGAACCAAACCUCGCAACCAGUCAAGCAGUCAAUGGCCUUUACGUCCAAAUAAUUUGUUCCAGCCUCUGCUCCUGGAUUUUCACUUAGCGCACGCCACAUAACCAUUGGCUCCCAGCUCAAGCCACUAGCUUGUUCAAGAACAUUUCGAACAAUAACCGGUUUGCCAUUAGCCCAGUGCUUCUGGAAGUGGAAAAGCCCUUCCUUUAGGACAUCAU